GAUGAACGCUGGCGGCGUGCCUAAUACAUGCAAGUCGAGCGAACGGACGAGAAGCUUGCUUCUCUGAUGUUAGCGGCGGACGGGUGAGUAACACGUGGAUAACCUACCUAUAAGACUGGGAUAACUUCGGGAAACCGGAGCUAAUACCGGAUAAUAUUUUGAACCGCAUGGUUCAAAAGUGAAAGACGGUCUUGCUGUCACUUAUAGAUGGAUCCGCGCUGCAUUAUCUAGUUGGUAAGGUAACGGCUUACCAAGGCAACGAUGCAUAGCCGACCUGAGAGGGUGGUCGGCCACACUGGAACUGAGACACGGUCCAGACUCCUACGGGAGGCAGCAGUAGGGAAUCUUCCGCAAUGGGCGAAAGCCUGACGGAGCAACGCCGCGUGAGUGAUGAAGGUCUUCGGAUCGUAAAACUCUGUUAUUAGGGAAGAACAUAUGUGUAAGUAACUGUGCACAUCUUGACGGUACCUAAUCAGAAAGCCACGGCUAACUACGUG
rnacentral:rRNA from 1 species